rnacentral:rRNA from 1 species
GAUGAACGCUGGCGGCGUGCCUAAUACAUGCAAGUCGAGCGAACGGACGAGAAGCUUGCUUUUCUGAUGUUAGCGGCGGACGGGCGAGUAACACGUGGAUAACCUACUUAUAAGUCUGGGAUAACUUCGGGAAACCGGAGCUAAUACCGGAUAAUAUUUUGAACCGCAUGGUUCAAAAGUGAAUGACGGUCUUGCUGUCACUUAUAGAUGGAUCCGCGCUGCAUUAGCUAGUUGGUAAGGUAACGGCUUACCAAGGCAACGAUGCAUAGCCGACCUGAGAGGGGGACCGGCCCCACUGGAACUGAGACACGGUCCAGACUCCUACGGGAGGCAGCGGUGGGGAAUCUUCCGCAAUGGGCGAAAGCCUGACGGAGCAACGCCGCGUGGGUGAUGAAGGUCUUCGGAUCGUAAAACUCUGUUAUUGGGGAAGAACGUAUGUGUAAGUAACUGUGCACAUCUUGACGGUACCUAAUCAGAAGGCCACGGCUAACUACGU